UCAUAUAUAUCCACUAUUCCUAGUGCAAUAUUACCCAAAGCAUCUCUUCUCUCCCUGUACACAGGACCAAAAGUGCAGGCACAUCAUUUAUUGAUAAGACAAAAAGAAUGUAAUGAAAUUAUCAAUGUUCUUGAAUUAAUUAUGAACAUGAUUAAGAAAGCUAAAAUCUCAGGAGCCAGGAUCUCAUUACCCAUUCAGUCUUAGGGAUUGCUUUCAUUCAGCUAAGCAAAAAGGCUUUGAGCAGUCCCACAAUUGCCUUUCUCUCAUUUAUUUGUGCUAGAAUUAAGGUUUAUUUGUUUUCUGUUUUCUCCUUCUUCAGAGAUUAUUUCUCUUAGUUUAUCCAUUUAACAAAUUGUUUCUUCCUGUAUCAUAGAAGAAUGCCCCUGUAGGGCCUCCAUCACUGUCUUCUGGCUACAGACCUCCUCCUUUUGAGGGCAUUUUCUCUCCACUCAUUUUGCUGGGAGCUCCUAAAUAUCUCUCAAGUUUCUACAGAUAGCAGAAGACUUCUGCAGUCCAAUCCUGCAAAUGCAUAGUUGCUAAGAAGAGGCUUUUUAAAAGUUCUACUUUGUGGGAAAACUUGACCAAAUAUUGAGAAAGCAGAAGACAGGAAUAUUUUCACUAGAUUGGGAUGGAUGGAGAGAGAGGGAAUGAAAAUAUUGACUAAGGGCAGAAAACAAUAUUCCCACCUUUAAAAGUCUAUGAUUGAUGAGUGUGAGAAGAGAAAUCCAGGGGUCUCCAAUAGAAUUCCGAAGACACAUGGUUUCAUCCAGUCAUCAGUUUCGUUAGAACUUCGCUUCCAGCUGGGCUCUGCCAUUUAGGAUAAGGAAUCGUGAUGUCACAUCUCUGCUAUUCAUGCUUCUGGCAGAAGAUGAGGAGGGAUCAAGAAAACUAUGGAAUCUGGUGUUCAAAUUGUGUCUUAAAGAAAAAGGACUUUAUAAGGCAAAAAGAAAGAGAAAGUGCAUCCCAAGAAUAUGAAGUAACCAGUACAAAGACAAAGCAUGUAUUUAUUUGAGGAUCAUCAUAAUUCCAAGUUAUUUCAGAAAACUGAAAUUUAACA
rnacentral:lncRNA from 1 species